CUCACGUGCUCAGCUGCAUGUUGGCACAGUCAAACCGGAAUACACAUCACAACAACAGGUAAAGUCAGACAUCCAGAAGAUCAGAUCAAAAGAAGAAAAUGUACAUGGGCUUUUCACAUCACCAUAUGCUGUGUCAUCUAGAAUCAUCGUCAGGCUUCUAGAAUCAUCUAGAGGAAUGCCCCUGGUUACCCUGAGUACAUCAGUCUUAAAAACAACACUACAUUAUCUCCUCCUUGCUAAACAAAGCCGGCCAGCUAUCUUGGUGACCUCAAAUGACAGCACAUGAUGUUUUGGGGGUUUUCACUAAUUAUCCAACAUGGCUAUCGUGUCAAACUGAUUUAACUGCUAAAACCAGAUUGUCAGACAGAGCAACCGCCCAUAUAAAAGCAGUUUUUAUCAACAUUUGAACAACAGAAUAAGUUAUCUAGGCAUAUACUGAUGAUAGAAAGUAUUGAUAUAUAAUUUAAACAUUUUCACUUCAGAAAAUAACAUAAACAACAAGCUUGUCACUGAAACUGUUUUGGACGGAGUGUGUCAAGAAUUUGAGCGUGUUUACUUUCUUUUCUAUGUUGUUUACUAGCUUGCUAACUGUUUAGCGGCUAACGUUACAUCAUAAUAAUUAUGCAGUGUUUAGAAAACAGCAAGCAUUCAAAUUCAUAUGCAUUGUCUUAAUAUUUUAAGCUAGUUAUAACCAAAUAAUACGUUUUGGCGGUCUUCGACUCUGUUAGCAUAUGCUAAUAGUCAGCUGCACCACCGACUGCUAUUGAGCUCUGAAUAUGAAAUUAAACUUAAGGAAAAGCACGAACGACCAAAAUAGAUGAAAUUCAGCAUAAAAUUUUAACGAACAUAUUUAGUGUUGCAUAAUUAUAGCAUAACUAGCAUUGAGCAUAACUUGUAUGUACCAGGAUGGCCGAGUGGUUAAGGCGUUGGACUUAAGAUCCAAUGGACAUAUGUCCGCGUGGGUUCGAACCCCACUCCUGGUAAUGACUUUUGAUUUUCAUCUUUAGCGUAUUCAAAAAUGAACGUGCAGAACUGCCGUACACAUGGUCGGCAAGCGAAAGCUGUACGGAAAAAUAAAAUAAAAAGUAGAUCGGACGCGGAUCAUGAAAUGCUAUGCUGUCGGCAUUCACGAGAUUUGAUCCCCCUUUUUCUGGAUGGACGGAGGAGAGGAACACCGACCACUGUUGUGUUUACCCUCAGGGCAUUUCCAUAAAGCGGAGCUCACUUGCCAUAUGAACAAAUAAGUCAACAAUCAAAAUCGACAUGAUGUUGAAUGGGUGGUCUGAUACUGCCUCCUAUUGGUAAUUUAAAACUAACUUCUGCUAAAUACAUUGAUUAAAUUAAUACAAUAUUUAAUGACCUUCAAACAAGUUCUGCUAAACACACAUUAUAAAAAAAAAGUCAGAUGUAAUUUCCAAGAAUGAAUACUUCCAUAAUGAUUUGAAAUGCACGCUUCCUAUGUAAAUAUAUGAUAAUAAUAGCCUAUGUUGUGAUAGGCCAGGCUUAAUUCUAAACUAGAACAGGCUGUUCUAGUUUAUGGGCGAAACAUAUUCUGAUUCUGAAACCUCUGCCUUAAUUGGCCAGUAAUUGUUUUCAUAUUGCUUCUAAAAUAUAUUAUUUUUGUUUGCUGCAGGCGUUUAUGUUAGCCUACAUGAUGUAUAUUGAGUUGUAAAGAUGCUUUAACUUAUAAAUCAGACUGACUUUUGUUUGUAUUGUGUGUAUCAUAAAAAUAUAAUAAAUAAUA